GCCACGCUAUAUAUAGUGUAUCUAGUAGCCAUGCCAUAUAUAGUGUAUCCAGUAGCCAUGCUAUAUAUAGUGUAUCUAGUAGCCAUGCUAUAUAUAGUGUAUCUAGCAGCCAUGCUAUAUAUAGUGUAGAGGCCAUGCUAUAUAUAGUGUAUCUAGUAGCCAUGCUAUAUAUAGUGUAGAGACCAUGCUAUAUAUAGUGUAUCUAGUAGCCAUGCUAUAUAUAGUGUAGAAGCCAUGCUAUAUAUAGUGUAUCUAGUAGCCAUGCUAUAUAUAGUGUAUCCAGCAGCCAUGCUAUAUAUAGUGUAGAGGCCAUGCCAUAUAUAGUGUAUCCAGUAGCCAUGCUAUAUAUAGUGUACCAGUAGCCAUGCUAUAUAUAGUGUAUCUAGUAGCCAUGCUAUAUAUAGUGUAGAGGCCACGCCAUAUAUAGUGUAUCUAGUAGCCAUGCCAUAUAUAGUGUGUCUAGUAGCCAUGCUAUAUAUAGUGUAUCUAGUAGCCAUGCUAUAUAUAGUGUAGAGGCCAUGCUAUAUAUAGUGUAUCUAGUAGCCACGCUAUAUAUAGUGUAGAGGCCAUGCUAUAUAUAGUGUAUCUAGUAGCCAUGCCAUAUAUAGUGUAUCCAGCAGCCAUGCCAUAUAUAGUGUAUCUAGUAGCCAUGCUAUAUAUAGUGUAGCGGCCACGCUAUAUAUAGUGUAUCUAGUAGCCAUGCUAUAUAUAGUGUAUCUAGUAGCCAUGCCACAUAUAGUGCAGAGGCCAUGCUAUAUAUAGUGUAUCCAGUAGCCAUGCCAUAUAUAGUGUACUAGCAGCCACGCUCUAUAUAGUGUAUCUAGUAGCCAUGCCAUAUAUAGUGUAGAGGCCAUGCUAUAUAUAGUGUAUCUAGUAGCCAUGCCUAUAUAUAGUGUAGAGGCCAUGCCAUAUAUAGUGUAUCCAGCAGCCAUGCUAUAUAUAGUGUAGAGGCCACGCCAUAUAAGUGUAUCUAGUAGCCAUGCUAUAUAUAGUGUAUCUAGUAGCCAUGCUAUAUAUAGUGCAUCCAGUAGCCAUGCUAUAUAUAGUGUAUCUAGUAGCCAUGCUAUAUAUAGUGUAGAG
rnacentral:lncRNA from 1 species